rnacentral:rRNA from 1 species
UUGGACGCUGGCGGCAGGCCUAACACAUGCAAGUCGAGCGGAUGAAGGGAGCUUGCUCCCUGAUUCAGCGGCGGACGGGUGAGUAAUGCCUAGGAAUCUGCCUGGUAGUGGGGGACAACGUUUCGAAAGGAACGCUAAUACCGCAUACGUCCUACGGGAGAAAGCAGGGGACCUUCGGGCCUUGCGCUAUCAGAUGAGCCUAGGUCGGAUUAGCUAGUUGGUGAGGUAAUGGCUCACCAAGGCGACGAUCCGUAACUGGUCUGAGAGGAUGAUCAGUCACACUGGAACUGAGACACGGUCCAGACUCCUAUGGGAGGCAGCAGUGGGGAAUAUUGGACAAUGGGCGAAAGCCUGAUCCAGCCAUGCCGCGUGUGUGAAGAAGGUCUUCGGAUUGUAAAGCACUUUAAGUUGGGAGGAAGGGUUGCUGAUUAAUACUCUGCAAUUUUGACGUUACCGACAGAAUAAGCACCGGCUAACUCUGUGCCAGCCGCCGCCGUAA